UUCCUUUUUUGCGGAAUAGUCCCCAGCCCUCUCCGAUUUCUCUCUCUCUCGGCCUCAGACCCGCCAGGUCAGACGCGACCCGACCCGGGGAUUUCUCCCCCCUCCGGCCCCGGACCCGAGCUCCCCCGUGAUCGCCACUCCACGCCCAGCCUCAACCCGGUGUCUUCCUGAGCAGCCGCCGCCCUCAGGUGGAGAUCGAAGCCACCCAGGCGGAGCAAAUCGGACCCGACCGGAUCCUGGCCGUGUCGGUGUUUCACGGGCCGAUCCUUCCGACUUUUGUGAUCUAGUCUUCCCCCUGAUCAUCCCCAUAUAAGCCUUGCAUGACGAUUUUGACUAUGGAGUGAAAGAUCACCAGUUGAAGAUUUCGACGUUCCUGAUUCGAUCUGGAAUCUGAUCAGACGCACGAGAUUAAUCCAACUUCCAAGCUUGAUCCAGGACGAUCUAGGCGGAACCAGACUUAGCUCUAGGUGACUGACGGUUUAAGUUGGUGGACGAUUGUAAAUCGUAUUUUGAGCUGCUAAGAAGACGCAGCGGGAUUCGAGCGGAUAAUCCUGCAGGUUAGGAGAACCAGGGCGGUGGUCGUGCGGUUUAGAGUAUUAGUUUUUGAUUUACAGCAUUUGUAUUUGUGAGGUGAGUUAUGCUCUUUUGAGCCUUACAAUUUGAUUCGGUGAGAGUGAGCUGUAAUAGAUAACUUGAGGAUUUGGUUUAUGUAUUAUUGGGUGGUGUGAGGUGUGUUGUUUCUGAGAAAAAAAUUCAGAACGUUAUUUGUAAUUGUUAUGAUUCAUGUUCCGGAUUUGAAUCCUUUAUUCAAAAUUCGGGCCGUGACAACCAACCUCAACGUCUCCUCCUCCCGCUAGUCCCUCACCGGCACCUGGUCCGUCGGCUUCGACGUCUUCGACAUCUUCAACCCCAACAAGAAGAUGACCAUCGAGUACGACAAGAUCGGCUCCUCCGUCUUCUCCCGCUCCGGCUUCAUUUCCGAGACCUAAAUCCCGCCGUUCCGGCAGGGGAAGAGAGUCUGAAGCGCCGUGAACGUGACUUUCUCGGCGGCGAACUCGUUCGUCGGCGACAGGGUGGCUAGUGGGAUCGACGCGGACAGGGCGGCGCAGGGGGCGGUGAGUUUCAAUAUCAAGCUGCUGGCUAGGGUUCAGUUCCGGAAAGGCGGGUGGAGGCUGAGGCGGCGGCUGCUGAGGGUGCUGUGCAGUGACGUGCCGCUCACGAUUUCGAAUAAUGGGACUGGGACGAUGACCGGCGGAGGUAGAGAUUGCGGCGGCUGCUGUCUGAGUGAGUGAGGCCUCUGUUGACUGGUUUUAUCUCUUACUUGAGUUCUUACAUUUCUCCAAUUCUCACGGUUUCGAAAUGGGGCUAUUGAUAUUGAGAUGUAUGGUUAUAGGAGCAUGAGUUUUUACUAAUGAGAUUAGUAGCUUGAGAUUGAUGGGGUUAGGUUCAAUUGAUGUAUAGAGUUUAACUUCAAUUCUUUUGUUUGUUCUGUUCAGUAAUUUGAUAUUUCUGACCUUA